rnacentral:rRNA from 1 species
AGGGAAUCUUCCGCAAUGGACGAAAGUCUGACGGAGCAACGCCGCGUGAGUGAUGAAGGUUUUCGGAUCGUAAAGCUCUGCUGCCAGGGAAGAACGUCCGUUAGAGUAACUGCUAACGGAGUGACGGUACCUGAGAAGAAAGCCCCGGCUAACUACGUGCCAGCAGCCGCGGUAAUACGUAGGGGGCGAGCGUUGUCCGGAAUUAUUGGGCGUAAAGCGCGCGCAGGCGGCUGGUUAAGUCUGGUGGUUAAUCCUGGGGCUCAACCCCGGGUCGCACUGGAAACUGGGCAGCUUGAGUGCAGAAGAGGAGAGUGGAAUUCCACGUGUAGCGGUGAAAUGCGUGGAGAUGUGGAGGAACACCAGUGGCGAAGGCGACUCUCUGGGCUGUAACUGACGCUGAGGCGCGAAAGCGUGGGGAGCAAAC